CUUCGGCCCGAGUUGUAAUUUGCAGAGGAUGUUUCUGGCGCGGUGCCUUCCGAGUUCCCUGGAACGGGACGCCACAGAGGGUGAGAGCCCCGUAUGGUUGGACACCAAGCCUGUGUGAAACUCCUUCGACGAGUCGAGUAGUUUGGGAAUGCUGCUCAAAAUGGGAGGUAAAUCUCUUCUAAAGCUAAAUACCGGCCAGAGACCGAUAGCGCACAAGUAGAGUGAUCGAAAGAUGAAAAGCACCUUGAAAAGGGGGUUAAACAGUACGUGAAAUUGUUGAAAGGGAAGCGCUUGUGACCAGACUUGCGCCGGGCGGUUCAUCCGGGGUUCUCCCCGGUGCACUCCGCCCGGCUCAGGCCAGCAUCGGUUCUCGUUGGGGGAUAAGAACGGCAGGAACGUGGCCCUCCUUCGGGUGGGUGUUAUAGCCUGCCGUACGAUACCCUGACGGGGACCGAGGUUCGCGCUCCGCAAGGAUGCUGGCGUAAUGGUCAUCAGCGACCCGUCUUGAAACACGGACCAAGGAGUCGUCCAUUAGAGCGAGCGUUUGGGUGUCAAACCCGCACGCGUAAUGAAAGUGAAAUUAGGUGAGAGCUUCGGCGCAUCAUCGACCGAUCCUGAUGUUCUCGGAUGGAUUUGAGUAAGAGUUUUAACGGACGGACCCGAAAGACAGUGAACUAUGCUUGUAUAGGGUGAAGCCAGAGGAAACUCUGGUGGAGGCUCGCAGCGGUUCUGACGUGCAAAUCGAUCGUCAAAUAUGAGCAUGGGGGCGAAAGACUAAUCGAACUGUCUAGUAGCUGGUUACCGCCGAAGUUUCCCUCAGGAUAGCAGUGUUGACCUUCAGUUUUAUGAGGUAAAGCGAAUGAUUAGGGACUCGGGGGCGCUUUUUAGCCUUCAUCCAUUCUCAAACUUUAAAUAUGUAAGAAGCCCUUGUUACUUAGUUGAACGUGGGCAUUCGAAUGUAUCAACACUAGUGGGCCAUUUUUGGUAAGCAGAACUGGCGAUGCGGGAUGAACCGAACGCGGGGUUAAGGCGCCAGAGUGUACGCUCAUCAGACACCACAAAAGGCGUUAGUACAUCUUGACAGCAGGACGGUGGCCAUGGAAGUCGGAAUCCGCUAAGGACUGUGUAACAACUCACCUGCCGAAUGUACUAGCCCUGAAAAUGGAUGGCGCUCAAGCGUACCGCCCAUACCCCGCCCUCAGGGUAGAAACGAUGCC
rnacentral:rRNA from 2 species